GAUGAACGCUAGCGGCGUGCCUAAUACAUGCAAGUCGAGCGAACAGAUGAGGAGCUUGCUCCUCUGACGUUAGCGGCGGACGGGUGAGUAACACGUGGAUAACCUACCUAUAAGACUGGGAUAACUUCGGGAAACCGGAGCUAAUACCGGAUAAUAUAUUGAACCGCAUGGUUCAAUAGUGAAAGACGGUUUUGCUGUCACUUAUAGAUGGAUCCGCGCCGCAUUAGCUAGUUGGUAAGGUAACGGCUUACCAAGGCGACGAUGCGUAGCCGACCUGAGAGGGGGAUCGGCCACACUGGAACUGAGACACGGUCCAGACUCCUACGGGAGGCAGCAGUAGGGAAUCUUCCGCAAUGGGCGAAAGCCUGACGGAGCAACGCCGCGUGAGUGAUGAAGGUCUUCGGAUCGUAAAACUCUGUUAGUAGGGAAGAACAAAUGUGUAAGUAACUAUGCACGUCUUGACGGUACCUAAUCAGAAAGCCACGGCUAACUACGUG
rnacentral:rRNA from 1 species